UGGGGUGGGGUGGGGUGGGGUGGGGUGGGGGCGGGCCCGAGGGAGCGCACCUCGGGGAGACACCCUCCUCUCCUGCCGGCCUGCGGGACACGGCCCUCCCCCACCUCCCCUGCUCGGCCGUCGCAGGUGUGGGCGCCUCCGGGCCCUGGCUAGCCCGUUCAGGGUCUCUUUUACAUUGGUUAGUUGAGCCAACUCUUUCCAACCUGGACUGCUGACCUGUGACCUCCCAUUAUUCAAACCAAGGCUGACCUAUGUGGGCAUCUGGAGACCCUUGGCCUUGUUGCUUCACUUAUCCGCAUCACCUUCUGAAAUCAAGAUACUUCAUCAAGUCAGUGAAGCUCAGGAUUGACCAACAGAUGCAUGAACAGGAGCUGGAAAAAAUUAUGGAAGAGAGACUGGAAGAGCGAUGGCUGGUGUGCAGAGCCUGCAUCACAUCUCUAUGGGGACUGUGCCAGAAAGCUUGCUGGCUGCAGGAAUGUGCACCCCCAAACAGUGGAUGUCGGGAGCCACCGCAUAAAUGCCCCGACCUUCUGGUUCUCCAGUGGGACGAGUCUGAGGUGUGUCCCGCAUGUUUUCUCAGGGCGUCUCAAGGGAUUAAAUCACAGUUUCCCAUGGUGAUAACCUGCUCCUUAAUAUACCUUAUAUUGGCUUUUCUCCCGUUCUGCCUCACUUUCCCUGCCCGCACUUGUACUUCCUUGAAUGACCUCUCAAAUAAACUUCUUGCACCAAAGUUCUUGUCUCAGGGUUGGAUUUUGGAGGUUCCAGUGGCCAUACUCUCUGACUUCUAG
rnacentral:lncRNA from 1 species